GGAAGUAAAAGUCGUAACAAGGUUUCCGUAGGUGAACCUGCGGAAGGAUCAUUAAAAUUAAUACAUUCACACGUUCUAUUUAAACUAAACAUGAUAACUAAAUCUAACAAGAAAUUCUUAAAACUUUCAACAACGGAUCUCUUGGUUCUCGCAUCGAUGAAGAACGCAGCGAAAUGCGAUACGUAAUACGAAUUGCAGCUCUCGGAAUCAUCGAAUCUUUGAACGCACAUUGCACCAAGGGGUAUUCCCCUUGGUAUGCCUGUUUGAGCGAAGGAUUCUCCUAAUCCCCCGGGAUUGUUUUGCAUUACGCUAAAAACAUACAAACACAUUAUACAAUAUCGUGUGUUCAACACCACUGAAAUUCCUCAAAUCAGGUAGGACUACCCGCUGAACUUAAGCAUAUCAAUAAGCGGAGGA
rnacentral:rRNA from 1 species